rnacentral:rRNA from 1 species
AUUGAACGCUGGCGGCAGGCCUAACACAUGCAAGUCGAACGAGUGGCGGACGGGUGAGUAAUGUCUGUGAACCUGCCCGAUGGAGGGGGUUAACUACUGGAAACGGUAGCUAAUACCGCAUACCAUCCGAUGUUCCCAGAUGGGAUUAUCUAGUAGGUGGGGGAACGGCUCACCAAGGCGACGAUCCCUAGCUGGUCUGAGAGGAUGAGCAGCCACACUGGAACGGAGACACGGUCCAGACUCCUACGGGAGGCAGCAGUGGGGAAUAUUGCACAAUGGGCGAAAGCCUGAUGGAGCCAUGCCGCGUGUAUGAAGAAGGUCUUCGGAUUGUAAAGUACUUUCAGCGGGGAGGCGGUACUCGAAGAAGAAGCACCGGCUAACUCCGUGCCAGCAGCCGCGGUAAUUC